GCACCCGCGGUAAUUCCAGCUCCAAUAGCGUAUACUAAAGUUGUUGCAGUUAAAAAGCUCGUAGUCGAAUGAGGGUUUCUUGUAUAGUGCGGACGUCUAGGUGUAACUUAGAUUAGUUUGCGCACAAGAACCUCCCUUGUGUGUCUCAGAGGAGCAAAUAUUUAUUUAUUUUGAUCCAUUUGCGACACACACAUUACUGUGAACAAAAUAGAGUGUUCAUGGCAGGUCAAUUUAGGCUUGAAUACCUCAGCAUGGAAUAAUAGAAUAGGACUUCCGGUUCUAUUUUGUUGGUUUUUGGAGCCGAAGUAAUGAUUAAUAGGGAUAGUUGGGGGCACUCGUACUCCGUUGUCAGGGGUGAAAUUCUAGGAUUGACGGAAGACGAACAACUGCGAAAGCAUCUGCCAAGGAUGUUUUCAUCAAUCAAGAACGAAAGU
rnacentral:rRNA from 1 species